CCCUUCACCCAAACACCAUGUAUGAUUAAGGCAUUUCUAUAAAUGAAUUACCGCUAAAAAUAAGAAAUAAAAAAGAAAAGAAGGCACAUCAAAUCUCAGUCAUCCUUGUCCUGAAGAGAAAUAUUUUAGAAAGAAUAAGUGGGUAGGCAUAUGAAAUGAAACCCCCACGUUGAUUCAGGUUUUCUUUUAAUUCCCCUUGACAACCCAAUUUAGCUUCCAAAAUUGGUGGACAAAAUGUUUUUAUCUUGUAUUGAUGGGAGAAUAAAUGAAAUGCACAGUUUCAAUGAAAAAGAAUAAUUGGGAAAGAAUAAAGACAAGGGGACUUUGUUAAAAGUUUAUUGGCAAGCUAUAAUUUAAUUAAUUCACUUAGGAAGUUUGUUAACAAGUUUCAAUGAAUUCUUAGUAAUUUUUUUUUUGAAAUUAUUGCACAUUAUUUAUCAAUUAUAUAAGAACACACAAGUUUUAGAGCUCAACCGGAAUGAACAAACAAAUAACCCAAAUAGAAAUCACAUCUUCCGUCCAUUCCCACAACAACAAAUCUACCCAGUUAUACAAAAAUAUAUUCACAAGCACAAUCAGUUUAAUUUCGAGAUUUUAGAAUUGGGGAUGUUAUUGAAUUGGUUCACUUUAAUGUUUUUGCUUGCUUUUGUUAUUAUCUAGGGGAGGGGCGAUGAAACUAGUAGAUGAUUGCCUGUUGCCUUGGGGCUUUUGACAACAUGUAUCUGGAAUUGUUUCGUUAGCUAAUUAUGAGUGGGAAAGAUAAUUAAAGGGGGA
rnacentral:misc_RNA from 1 species